ACCCUCUAGCAUUUUCUAAGUGUGAUGAGCGGGUUUUCAGCCGCUGUAUGAGAUGUGUCGCCUCAAAUGAUGUCAGCACAUUACCCAUCUGACA
ensembl:snoRNA LOC120098407 small nucleolar RNA U13